AAAAGUAUUUGACAGUUACCUACUAAUUUAACUUCUCUUACUUACUAAAAAUAUAGCAACUUGUAUACAAAAGAAAGCUGGCAUACCAGCUAUUACAUCAGUCAAUCUUUCCUACUAACUUAGCUAACUCAUUACAAAGAUUUAGACUAAGUUCCAUAGGAACAAAUAUUCAAAAAGUAAUUUUAUAACUGAACCAACUCCAUUUCUUUGCUACAAAACAGUAUAGCAGCUCAAAUUGUACAAUUUGCUGCUGUUGGUCUUUUGACCAAUUUGUUGCUGUUGGUUCUUUGUUGCAAUGCAGGCCACGGCUUCAACACUCCUCCUUGGUCUGUAUGCAACAAACACCAAUCCUUUCCUUCAAAGCAUUAAAUCGGUUGGCUCCCAAUGGUUUAGUUAAAAUGUCAGCUAGCUGAAUUUCUGAGCUGCAAUGAACUAAGCUAACCUCCCUAGAUUGCUCAGCUUCUCUAACAAAAUGGAAUUUGAUUUUGAAGUGUUUAGUCUUACCAUGGAAGACUGGAUUCUUGGCUAUGGCCACAGCUGAUUGAUUAUCCACUCUAAUCUCAGUAGGCUGAACUUGACUUUCAUUCAAAUCAUCCAAAAUCUUCCUAAGCCAAAUGGCUUGGUUCACAGCUGCUGCAGCUGAGAUAUACUCAGCCUCUGCUGUAGAUUGUGCAACAGUUUGUUGCUUCUUGGAACUCCAGCUGAAAACACUCGAGCCUAAGGUAAAAAAAUAACCUGAAGUGCUCCUCAUGUCAUCAACUGACCCUGUCCAAUCGCUAUCAGAAUAGCCUACGAGUUUCAGCUCCCUUGCCCUCCAAAACUUCACACCAGUAUCGAUGGUUCCUUUGACAUACCUUAACACUCUUUUUGCUGCCUUCAGAUGUGCCACAUUACUGCAGUGCAUAAACCUUGAAAGUAGACUAACAGCAUAGACAAUGUCUGGUCUAGUUGCUGUUAAAUAAAGCAAACAACCAAUUAAGCUUCUAUAUGCCUUCUCAUCUACUCGAUCAUGUUCACUGGCACUUGACAAUUUUUCUCCCAAUGCAACUGGUGUAGUGACUGAUUUGCAUUUCAACAUGCAAAAUUUUUCAAGCACCUUGGAAGCAAAUGUUUGCUGACUUAUGAAAAUGCCAUCACUUCCUUGUUUUAUCUCCAUGCCAAGAAAGUAGGUCAUCAGACCAAGGUCAGUCAUCUCAAAGACAUGUUGCAUCUGUUUCUUGAAGUCUUCAAUAAGUUCAUCUUUGCAGCCAAUAACCAACAGAUCAUCAACAUACAAGGAAACAAUUAACAAGGUUUCCUCCUGAUCCUUCUUAACAUAGAGUGUAGGCUCACUGAUACUCUUUGUGAACCCGAGCCUUGCUAAGUAGCCAUCAAUCCUCUCAUACCAGGCCCUUGGAGCCUGUUUUAGACCGUACAAAGCCUUUUUCAGCUUGUAGACCUUCUGUUCUUCACCAGUGACCAUAAAACCAUCAGGUUGCUCAAUGAAUAUUUCUUCAUUAAGAAAGCCAUUUAGAAAGGCUGACUUAACAUCCAGAUGAUGCACCUUCCAAUGCUUUUGAGCUGCCAAAGCUAGCAGCAAUCUGAUAGUAUCCAACCUUGCAACAGGUGCAAAGGUUUCAGAAAAAUCAACCCCUUGCUGCUGACUAUAACCUUUAACAACCAGUCUGGCCUUAUGUCUAUUAAGAGAGCCAUCUGCAUUGUUCUUAAUUCUAUAGACCCACUUUACACCUAUAAUUUUUCUGUUUUCAGGUCUGUUUACAAGCUCCCAUGUAUCAUUUUUCUGAAUCAUUUUAAAUUCAGCUUCCAUAGCAUCCUGCCAGCAUUUUUCUUUUGCAGCUUCUUCAAAACAUGAAGGCUCUACUAUAGUUACUGUACAUCUCUCAUAGAUGUCAGUUAAUGUCCUGGUGCCUCGAAUAGGUUGAUCAUCAUAGCCAUUUUCAAUUACUUCUUCAUUUUCAGCUUGCUGCAGAUCAACAUCAAUCUCUUCUUCAUCUGGCAAAUUUGCUUCAAUUCCAUCCCAUUUCCAGCUACUUGCUUCACUGAAUUUCACAUCUCUGCUCACUACAACCUUCUUGGUCAGUGGAUCAAAGACUCUGUAUCCUUUCUUCACAUUGCUGUAGCCAACAAACACCCCAGGCAUGGACCUCUUGUCCAACUUGGUUCUUCUCUCCUCAGGUACCAACACAUAACAUAGACAACCAAAUACCUUCAAAUGAGAGACAGAUGGUUUCUGUGCAAACCAGGCUUCAAAGGGAGUUUUUCCUUUGACUGCAUUAGUUGGCAACCUAUUCAACAGGUAAAUAGCUGUAUUCACAGCUUCAGCCCAAAAAACAUUAGGCAUAUUAGCCUCAAAUAACAAACACCUAGCAAAUAUCAAGGACUGUUCUGUUUUUCCUUUCACAAACACCAUUUUGCUGUGGUGUGUACACAGUAGUCAAUUGGUGUUGAAUUCCAGCAUCAUCACACAAUUUUUGAAACUUCUGAGAUACAUACUCAGAACCAUUGUCAGACCUCAAACAUUUUAGUUUGCAAUUUUCUUGGUUUUCGACCAAGGCUUUAAAUUUGCAGAAGGAGUCAUAAACAUCUGACUUAUGCUUCAAAAAAUUUACCCAACAGAACCUUGAAUAAUCAUCAAUGAAGAGUACAAAGUACCUGCUGCCAUUUAAGGAGGUAGUCUUCAUUGGUCCACAGAUGUCUGUAUGAAUAAGCUGAAGCUUCCCUUGUGCUCUCCAUGCCUUGUUGACUGGAAAGGGUAAUCUGGUCUGUUUGCCUAGCUGACAGACCUCACAUACAGCAUCCUUUGGCUCAAUUUUGGACAUAUCACUGACCAAAUCCAUUUUGUGCAGCAUGCUCAGUGAAUUGUAGUUCACAUGCCCCAUCCUCCUGUGCCACAAGUCUGUCUCAUCAGACUGAGAUGCGUAUGCCUUGGCUUGCAGUUGAUUCACAUCCACAAUGAAGGUUCUGUCUUGCAUAGCCACUGUAGUCAACACUUCACCAGCAGCAUUUUUGAUCAAACAGUUUUUGCCUUCAAAAAUCAGAGAGUAACCCUUCUCCAAUAGCUGGCCAACACUUAGCAAGUUUUGGUCAAUGUCAGGUACAUAGAGAACCUCUGAAAUGGUUUUAAUACCUGACUUAGUGCUUAUCAAAGCCUUGCCUUUCCCUUUUGCCUCUAGCAGCUCACCAUUGCCAAUUUUGACUUUGGACUUGAAGGUGGUGUCAAGCUCCUUAAAUAUACUCUUCUCAGAAGCCAUAUGGUAGGUACAUCCACUGUCAAUCAACCAUAUUUUACUAACUUUGCUCGAGCUUGCAAAGCAUGAUGCUGAAAAAAACAUGCUCUUCUGGUGAUUCAACCUCUUCUGCAGCUUGAGCUUGGCUUUGAAAUUGUGGUUGUGGUUUUGGCUUGCUCUUACAGACCUUUUCAAUGUGGCCAAAUUGCUUGCAGGCUCUACAUUGAAUGUCUGGUCUGUACCAGCAGUAUUUCUCAAGAUGAGUAGUCUUCUUGCAAUGGACACAAGGUGGGAACUUCCUUUUGACAGGUUCUUUCUUCUUUUUCUCAGUCCAGGGCUUCUUGCCUUUGGCAUUUAAGUUUGAACUUGAGCUUUCUCUGCUUCUAGCCUGAAAAGCUCCGUCAUAGUGGUCCUCCUGCCUAUUUGCCCUUCUCUGCUCUUGAGCAUAGAGAGCAUUUAUAAGCUCUGUCAAAGGGAUUGUUGACAAGUCCCUUGAAUCUUCCAGAGAAGAAAUUUUUGCUUCAUACUUCUCUGGCAAGGUUGUUAUGACCUUCUCAACCACUCUUUGGUCACUGAAUUCUUCCCCAAGCAGCCUUAUGUUGUUGACAGUAGCCAUGAUUCUGUCAGCAUACUGCUUGAUGGUUUCUGAGUCCUUCAUUUUGAGAUUUUCAAAAUCUCUUCUCAUGUUGAUCAGCUGCUGUUGCCUGGUCUUGUCAGACCCCUGAAACUCCUCCUUGAGUUUGUCCCAGGCCUACUUUGGAGUGUCACAAGCCAUUAUUCUUGUGAAAAUAACAUCAGAAACUCCACUUUGAAGGCACGACAUAGCCUUAUACUUCUUGGCACAGUCUUCAUUGUGCUGCCUAAUCUGGGCUAUAGUCGGGUUGGCUCUUAGUGGUGGUGGCUCAGUGUCAUUGAGAACAACAUUCCACAGGUCGUGUGCCUGCAGGUAUGUUCUCAUUUUCACUGCCCAGAUGUUGUAAUUUUCUCCAGCAAAGACAGGUGGAGGAGGUGGUGUAAAACUCAUUUUUCAGCAAGCAAAACAACCUCUUCUUCUUUUGUUUCAAACUCAAUUUGCUUAGUGACAGUGUACAACCAAGGCCCUCAAAGACUGAAAGCUCUUGAUACCAUUUGUUGGAUAAAAUGGCAGUAGCAAAGAAAGCAAAAACGAAUGAAAGAAAAAAAAAUAAAAGAAAAGAACUCAGCAAGAAAAUUUGUAACUAAGAAGUUGUCAUAAUUUCAUUCAAAUUUUGAAUAUAUGAUGGUUACAAAAGUAUUUGACAGUUACCUACUAAUUUAACUGCUCUUACUUACUAAAAAUAUAGCAACUUGUAUACAAAAGAAAGCUGGCAUACCAGCUAUUACAUCAGUCAAUCUUUCCUACUAACUUAGCUAACUCAUUACAAAGAUUUAGACUAAGUUCCAUAGGAACAAAUAUUCAAAAAGUAAUUUUAUAACUGAACCAACUCCAUUUCUUUGCUACAAAACAGUAUAGCAGCUCAAAUUGUACAAUUUGCUGCUGUUGGUCUUUUGACCAAUUUGUUGCUGUUGGUUCUUUGUUGCAAUGCAGGCCACGGCUUCAACACAAGGACAUGAAUAAGGAGGAAUUACAUAAAGUUUUGCAAGACUGUUUGAAUGGUAAAAGAUUUUUUAUGGUACUAGAUGAUGUCUGGAACGAGGACAAGAAGAAAUGGAGUGAGCUGAAAGAUUUGUUGUGUGGGGGAGCCCAAGGGAGUAGAAUCAUUGUCACAACUCGUGGCCGCAAAGUGGCUACAAUCACAGGCAUAAUCCCUCCAUACGAUUUAGAGCAUCUUUCUUAUGACAAUUGUCUAUCAUUGUUUCUUAAACUUGCCUUUAAAGAAGGUGAAGAGAAACAACAUGACAAUCUUGUAAGAAUCGGGGAAGGAAUUGUUCAAAAAUGCAAAGGGGUUGCUUUGGCCGUGAAGACUUUAGGCAGCCU
rnacentral:lncRNA from 1 species